GAUGAACGCUGGCGGCGUGCCUAAUACAUGCGAGUCGAGCGAACAGACGAGGAGCUUGCUCCUCUGACGUUAGCGGCGGACGGGUGAGUAACACGUGGAUAACCUACCUAUAAGACUGGGAUAACUUGGGGAAACCGGAGCUAAUACCGGAUAAUAUAUUGAACCGCAUGGUUCAAUAGUGAAAGACGGUUUUGCUGUCACUUAUAGAUGGAUCCGCGCCGCAUUAGCUAGUUGGUAAGGUAACGGCUUACCAAGGCGACGAUGCGUAGCCGACCUGAGAGGGUGAUCGGCCCCACUGGAACUGAGACACGGUCCAGACUCCUACGGGAGGCAGCAGUAGGGAAUCUUCCGCAAUGGGCGAAAGCCUGACGGAGCAACGCCGCGUGAGUGAUGAAGGUCUUCGGAUCGUAAAAAUCUGUUAUUAGGGAAGAACAAAUGUGUAAGUAACUAUGCACGUCUUGACGGUACCUAAUCAGAAAGCCACGGCUAACUACGUG
rnacentral:rRNA from 1 species